rnacentral:rRNA from 1 species
CAAUAGCGUAUAUUAACGUUGUUGCAGUUAAAAAGCUCGUAGUUGGAUUUCUGGAGGGAGCGUCGGCCCGUAUUUACGAGUGCGUGACGUCUCUGUCCAUCCUUGCGGGAAGGCACGGCAUUGAUUUGUUGUGUCGGAUCGCAUCAUUUACUGUGAAAAAAUUAGAGUGUUCAAAGCAGGCUUUCGCUUGAAUACAUUAGCAUGGAAUAAUAAGAUAGGACUUUGGUGCUAUUUUGUUGGUUGAGCCUAAAGUAAUGUUUAAUAGGGAUAGUUGGGGGCACCUGUAUUGCGUUGUCAGAGGUGAAAUUCUUGGAUUUACGCAAGACAAACAGCUGCGAAAGCGUCUGCCAAGGAUGUUUUCAUUAA